UUUUCCACAUCGCACCACCGCCACCCGAAGCGGGCGAUAAGGGCGGCGGCACACACACAUACCCACACUGCCUGCAAAAAGUAAACAUACCAAGAACCGUUAUGUUGCCACCGUAAAUGGAAGCAGAGAAAAAGAGCAGCUGCGCUUAAGUUAACCCAAAGUACGGGUAUGUUUCGUAGGCAGUGUUGGCAGUUUUAUGCUCUCACCAAUACACACCAACCACCGAAUUACUAUAACUGCACAUGCGCAGGAAGCAUGAAUAAAUGCGAUAAACCAUUUAAUUUUAACUAAAUAGUUGCUCGCACAAUUAAAUCGUUUUGGAAAAAAUGCCUGCAAUUGUGAACUAACCAUGCCAGCUUAAUUAACGGCUAUUCAAAGUUAAAGCGAGAUGACGAUAGAGGCGCCAUGUUCGAGGACCCCCAGCCGGUUAUCGAUAAUCCUCGAUUGCUAUCGGUUUUUGAAAUUUCCACACAAUAAUUGCCUGAAUGAAAUUGAAAGCGUAACGGCAGACGGACACCUACAUAGCUUAGUGGGUGGAAAUCUUUGGCUAUUGGAAUUUGCCGAGAGAGAGAGAUGCUGAUGCUGGGCUUUCCGGAGCGCAGUCAGUAGCGCAGCAGUUGUGGGUGAGGGAACAACAACGUCUACGGCCCGGCAAAGGCAACUAUACGGCCGUAUUAAUAGGACUCCCCGCCGAACUAAAUCCACCUUUACGUUGCUAAUCGCAGCUACUUUAACUAUUUAAACAAAGCGCCUCUGGCAUAGGUCCGGAUUCUGGCAUAAUCAACACUUAGAAGAAAAUAAAUAGGAA